AACAUUAUAAGCUAAGCAAUAUAAAUCUCUUUUAUUACACCUCUCUACUUAUCUCUGGGCAAGCUCGUUGGCCGUGAAACAAAUAGUUCCGUAGGCGAAAGGUGGCUAUAAAAUUGGGACUAUUUAUACCUGCGGAAAUAUACUCGUGCGCAGCCCUCAAAUAUAACGGUAUCUUUCUUUCCUUGUGUGUGCCCCCUUGCUCGCAGCUGUUGCCAUUUCGGAUGCCCAGGUAAAUAUCUACGCAAAAGAUGAUCCCGACCUAAAUUUGGAAAAGGGACCGUUGGCUUUGGUUCGUGUAGCGUCUGUGCGAGUAGUCGGUAGCGUUCUUGUAGUCUCCAUGAAAAGUCUCGUGAAAAGAAGUGCGUGCAAGUGUGAAAUUUCAAAAUGUCUGAAGUCAAGCCAAACUGCGUUUUUUGUCGAAAAGCAACAGGAAAAUUGCAACAAUUCGUCAUUAAUACUUUGAAUAAAAGUGCACAUAUUCUUUCAAUUCGCAAGGCAAACAUUUUAGAUUUAAAUAGCAUUAUUAUACCUCAAGAAGUAAAUGAUUGUCAGAGAUACCACUCAAGUUGUUAUUCAAAGUUUACAGCAGUGUCAAUAAAAUAUCAAGUUGUUCCAGCAAAACAGAAACCAUCGAAAUCAACAUCAAAUGUACAUGUAGAAGGAUAAAGUGUUCACGAUGACAGCAGUGCAGGGCCAUCAACGUUAAAAGCAAAUCCUGAUGUGGAAAAAGAAAGUUUUCAUGACGAUAACUCUGCGGAAUCAUUAACAUCAACACCAAUUUUAAAUAAGGUUCGAUUCAGACGCUCUAUCAUGCCGUCAGUUUGCGGAAGCAAAGGAGCCGUACGAGUUUUUCUAACCCCUAAAAUCUGAGUAACCUCUUUCACUAAGGUUGACUCAAAAUUUCGGCCUUGAUC